ACUCUAAACAAUGGAUGUCUUGGCUCCUCACACGAUGAAGAACGUUGCAUAAUGUGAUAAGUAACUGGAGUUGCAAGCAUUGUGACAAGUUAAUCUUUGAAUGCAAAUUGCGCAGUUUAUCCCUAGGAUUAAGCGCAUAUCUACGCCAGUGCCCUU
rnacentral:rRNA from 1 species